AUCGAGUUCAAAUUUUUUCUUCUCUCUUGUUGAUCAUUUUUUUUCCAGUCUCAUAUAUUAGACCUGUGGUAUAAGAGCAUCCUUUUUAUCAGCAUCACUCUAUAUAAUUCGUGUUGCCUAGUCGUUUUACCGGUAGUAUUUUCCAAAGGUUUGAUCCUUUUUAUACUUACUCGACAACAAUGAAGUACAUUUUAUUCGUUGAAAAAUAAGGCUUCAAUACUAAAAUCGUUAGGAACAUGAAUUCUUAUAUCGCACAAUCUAAGACAAAAAGAGAUGAUAACAUCUUAUAUGUCUUGUAGCCUCCUAUUUAUAAGUGUAAUGCACAACACACCCAUAAAUAAGACUUUACUAGACACGGUAUGUAGACAACCCUAGGACAGAACUACUCUGAUACCACUUUCGUCACGACCCAAACCGAUGGGUCGCGACGGGUGCCCGAGUCCUACCUGUCAAAUACCCUUAAGCAUCCGUCUAAGAUAUAAACUUGAAUAACCCCUGCUGAAUUACGAGAAUAAUAUACAUAAAGGAAACCUUCCCAAAAAGGCAUACGUACAUAUAUGUGCAACAUACGAAGGGCGAACCGACAAGGCUGCUAUAGAUAACUAUGUACCUCAAAAUUGGAAGUCGGCAAGGCCACAUACUAUCCAACUAAACAUACUGUUUACAGACCUCUAAUAGAAAUAUAACUGUACAAAGACGGGACUGAGCCACGUCAUACCCAUAUAUAUAUACAAACAUAUUGUACCAAAAUCAAAAGCAGCUCCGGAUCAAGUGGAGCGCGCCAACACUCGCUGAUCANNNNNNNNNNNNNNNNNNNNNNNNNNNNNNNNNNNNNNNNNNNNNNNNNNNACACACACACACACAACACACACACAUAUAUAUAAUAUAUAUAUAAUGUCAUCUGGUCAUGGGUCAAUGUACAUGUAUAAAUGAAUGAAAUGCAUGAAAAAUAUGUAAUAAUCUCAAUAUUCCUUCCGGAUAAACUUUUUCAGCUACGUAUUAUUCUGGGAUCCAUGAACAGAAGAUAUAAUAAUACGUCACAUGGGGAAUCAAGAACACAGAGACCACUAGUAUUUCUAUGAAUAGAGUCGUUUAUGAAAACUUGCAUUUGCUCGUUUCUUCUGUAUAACUUGGACCAUGCCAAAAAGAAAGAAGGGAUAGCCUUAACAUAUCUGGAGUAGGUAAAACUCCGUAUAAUAUUCUUGGCGAAGAUUGCACCGUACUCUUUUAGAACCGUAAAAUUUAGAUGGAAUUAAGCUUCUGCUCAUUGAAGUGUUUGAACGAAUUUUUGAGCUUCUGCUCAUUGAAGUGUUUGAACGAAUUUUUGAGCUUCUGCUCAUUGAAGUGUUUGAACGAAUUUUUGAGCUUCUGCUCGUUGAAAUGUUUGAAUGAAAUUUGAGCAUCUAUUUUUGAAAUAUUCAAACCAAGAAAGGAUAGGUUCUUGCUUUAGGAUUUUUGGUCAUUUUUUGGUUUCUUUUCUCUAAAUGAAAUGGAAUCAGAUUGUGAAUCAAUCUUUUCCUAUAAAGCUCUAAGGUAGCCACCUAAUACUUAGAAUGACUAAGAGUCAUUUUAUGCUACCACAUUACUUUUCUUAGGGGGGUUUAGUCUUAUCUUAUAAUUCAUUAAUUAACUAGGUAAUGUUCCGUUAUCCGGUAAUUAACCAAUUACCCGUAUAACUAAGAAUUGUCUCAAAUUACCUAAAAGUACUACUUAUUUUUAAUAUACUUUAUACAUCAUACUAUCACGGCCAUAUGGUACCUUGUAUGGUACUAGUCCAUAAUUAUUGGGUAUUAUCGCUCGACCCGUAUUUUAUCCCAAAUUGACCACUUUCAGCAAAACUCGUUUUCUUUAAUUCGUGUACCCUUUAUUUUUUAUGACACUUAUCGCUUGUUAUAAAUAGCAUACACUAUUACAGAAACAAUACCCAAAGCCUCAAAUACAUAGGGAUAAUUUGUAUUUUCAAGCAUAACAUAAAGCACAUCCUAAACAUCAGCAUGAGCAACUUGCAAUAAUGCCCAACUUAGUAGCCAACCUCUGUCACUCCAGCCUUAAGAGAAGACUUAUAUUGCUAUUUAUAUAUCUUACUAAAACAAAUAAACAUCAACCAACUAUGAAUAUAUAUAUGUACGAGUGAAUAUAUAAAAUUAAUAAAAUUACUCGAAUAUGACUGAUUGCGGCAUUUUGUUGGUAUUUUCAUCAUACACCAGGAUGUACACUUGCUCGAUCCACUGCAGAUUUCUCACUAUGGGAGAAUUUAACAGAUAGUAAUCCAUAUUUGCAUUUACCCCCUUAAAAGGGCUAUCGAGUUCAAAUUUUUUCUUCUCUCUUGUUGAUCAUUUUUUUUUCCAGUCUCAUAUAUUAGACCAGUGGUGUAAGAGCAUCUUUUUUAUCAGCAUCACUCUAUAUAAUUCGUGUUGCCUAGUCGUUUUACCGGUAGUAUUUUUCAAAGGUUUGAUCCUUUUUAUACUUACUCGACAACAAUGAAGUCCAUUUUAUUCGUUGAAAAAUAAGGCUUCAAAUAUACUAAAUUAAAAUUGAAUCUAGAUAUAUAGUAAUAUAAGUUGUGUCUUAUUGACAUACAUUACAAACAAAAAAUAACUCUAAUAAACAGAUAAUAUAUAUAAAUAAAUAAUCUACUAAGAAGUUAAGGAAAAAAAUCAAUAGAAAGUGCAGUGCUUACAAGAUGAUGCAGAGGAGACGAGUACCACAACCCAGAGUAUAAAUUGAAACAAAGAAGAUGAAAUAAAGAUAAAUUAACAACAUCAGUAAUAAAAAAAGUUGGAGAAAGGCCCAAAAUAACAUAAAUGGAUAAAACAAAGAAAGCAACAAAGAGAGAAGAAAAAAUCAGCUGCCAAAUCACACGUACCUAAAACACAAAGAGGAAAAUUGCAAAAACCAACACAUAUCUUCGAAAUCCCAUCACCAAGAAACUUAGCAAAACUUACAGGUAAAACAAACCCCAGAAUCAAAGAGAAAAGGGAGAUAUGCAAAAAGAAAAAGAAGCUAAUUUUCAGAGAGAUGAGGAAACUAAGUAGAAAAUUAGAAACAUUAGCAAUGAUCGAGCAAAAUAGUUUUAGAUCAAAAUCAAAUUUUAACUUCUAAAAGGGAUUAUUACCUGGGUUCUAUUUGCUUUCUCGGUGCUACGGUUUGAUUAUGUGGGUUACAGUAGAUUGUUGUUGUAUUACUCUUAUUUGAGUUCUCUCAAGUAAAAUCGUAGCUUUUGUUAGGGAUUGGACACAGUACUUCUGAUCUCGUUGCUAUUAUUGAGGCAAAGACGAAAGAAAUCAGCAAUGAUUUACAGCGAGAGUUUCUUCUUCUUAAUUAGGCUUAUCAACCAGAUCUGCUCGACUGUCGGACUGAGAUAGAGAAGCAUUUAGGCUCUCUAGAGAAGAUAAACAAUGGGAAUGGCGGAAGCUUCUAGUUGGGAAUUGACGCGAAAUUACUAAUAUACCCU
rnacentral:lncRNA from 1 species